rnacentral:lncRNA from 1 species
UUUUCUGUUUGCUCUAAUCUGUUUUGUGUUCUAUUGUGACAUGUUUUCUAUUGCAUCCAUUUGUUGCUUCCUAACCUGUUUGUUGAGUUUUUGUGAGGGCUCGCAUGACCUUAAAAGAGAUGGCUUGCGUGGUAUCCCACUUUAUUUGUGGGAUACCCCUUGGAGGUUUAUUCCGAUUACCUGUACUGACUCGCUUUCUUUGAUGGUGAUAGCUUGAGGGAUCUCUGGG